rnacentral:rRNA from 1 species
AGAGCUUGAUCAUGGCUCAGAUUGAACGCUGGCGGCAGGCCUAACACAUGCAAGUCGAACGGUAACAGGAAGCAGCUUGCUGCUUCGCUGACGAGUGGCGGACGGGUGAGUAAUGUCUGGGAAGCUGCCUGAUGGAGGGGGAUAACUACUGGAAACGGUAGCUAAUACCGCAUAAUGUCGCAAGACCAAAGAGGGGGACCUUCGGGCCUCUUGCCAUCGGAUGUGCCCAGAUGGGAUUAGCUUGUUGGUGGGGUAACGGCUCACCAAGGCGACGAUCCCUAGCUGGUCUGAGAGGAUGACCAGCCACACUGGAACUGAGACACGGUCCAGACUCCUACGGGAGGCAGCAGUGGGGAAUAUUGCACAAUGGGCGCAAGCCUGAUGCAGCCAUGCCGCGUGUAUGAAGAAGGCCUUCGGGUUGUAAAGUACUUUCAGCGGGGAGGAAGGGAGUAAAGUUAAUACCUUUGCUCAUUGACGUUACCCGCAGAAGAAGCACCGGCUAACUCCGUGCCAGCAGCCGCGGUAAUACGGAGGGUGCAAGCGUUAAUCGGAAUUACUGGGCGUAAAGCGCACGCAGGCGGUUUGUUAAGUCAGAUGUGAAAUCCCCGGGCUCAACCUGGGAACUGCAUCUGAUACUGGCAAGCUUGAGUCUCGUAGAGGGGGGUAGAAUUCCAGGUGUAGCGGUGAAAUGCGUAGAGAUCUGGAGGAAUACCGGUGGCGAAGGCGGCCCCCUGGACGAAGACUGACGCUCAGGUGCGAAAGCGUGGGGAGCAAACAGGAUUAGAUACCCUGGUAGUCCACGCCGUAAACGAUGUCGACUUGGAGGUUGUGCCCUUGAGGCGUGGCUUCCGGAGCUAACGCGUUAAGUCGACCGCCUGGGGAGUACGGCCGCAAGGUUAAAACUCAAAUGAAUUGACGGGGGCCCGCACAAGCGGUGGAGCAUGUGGUUUAAUUCGACGCAACGCGAAGAACCUUACCUGGUCUUGACAUCCACGGAAGUUUUCAGAGAUGAGAAUGUGCCUUCGGGAACCGUGAGACAGGUGCUGCAUGGCUGUCGUCAGCUCGUGUUGUGAAAUGUUGGGUUAAGUCCCGCAACGAGCGCAACCCUUAUCCUUUGUUGCCAGCGGUCCGGCCGGGAACUCAAAGGAGACUGCCAGUGAUAAACUGGAGGAAGGUGGGGAUGACGUCAAGUCAUCAUGGCCCUUACGACCAGGGCUACACACGUGCUACAAUGGCGCAUACAAAGAGAAGCGACCUCGCGAGAGCAAGCGGACCUCAUAAAGUGCGUCGUAGUCCGGAUUGGAGUCUGCAACUCGACUCCAUGAAGUCGGAAUCGCUAGUAAUCGUGGAUCAGAAUGCCACGGUGAAUACGUUCCCGGGCCUUGUACACACCGCCCGUCACACCAUGGGAGUGGGUUGCAAAAGAAGUAGGUAGCUUAACCUUCGGGAGGGCGCUUACCACUUUGUGAUUCAUGACUGGGGUGAAGUCGGAACAAGGUA